CGCUAGCUACAGGCUUAACACAUGCAAGUCGAGGGGCAGCAUUUCAGUUUGCUUGCAAACUGGAGAUGGCGACCGGCGCACGGGUGAGUAACACGUAUCCAACCUGCCGAUAACUCGGGGAUAGCCUUUCGAAAGAAAGAUUAAUACCCGAUGGUAUAAUCAGACCGCAUGGUCUUGUUAUUAAAGAAUUUCGGUUAUCGAUGGGGAUGCGUUCCAUUAGGCAGUUGGUGAGGUAACGGCUCACCAAACCUUCGAUGGAUAGGGGUUCUGAGAGGAAGGUCCCCCACAUUGGAACUGAGACACGGUCCAAACUCCUACGGGAGGCAGCAGUGAGGAAUAUUGGUCAAUGGGCGCAGGCCUGAACCAGCCAAGUAGCGUGAAGGAUGACUGCCCUAUGGGUUGUAAACUUCUUUUAUAUGGGAAUAAAGUUUUCCACGUGUGGAAUUUUGUAUGUACCAUAUGAAUAAGGAUCGGCUAACUCCGUGCCAGCAGCCGCGGUAAUACGGAGGAUCCGAGCGUUAUCCGGAUUUAUUGGGUUUAAAGGGAGCGUAGGUGGACAGUUAAGUCAGUUGUGAAAGUUUGCGGCUCAACCGUAAAAUUGCAGUUGAUACUGGCUGUCUUGAGUACAGUAGAGGUGGGCGGAAUUCGUGGUGUAGCGGUGAAAUGCUUAGAUAUCACGAAGAACUCCGAUUGCGAAGGCAGCUCACUGGACUGCAACUGACACUGAUGCUCGAAAGUGUGGGUAUCAAACAGAAUUAGAUACCCUGGUAGUCCACACAGUAAACGAUGAAUACUCGCUGUUUGCGAUAUACAGUAAGCGGCCAAGCGAAAGCAUUAAGUAUUCCACCUGGGGAGUACGCCGGCAACGGUGAAACUCAAAGGAAUUGACGGGGGCCCGCACAAGCGGAGGAACAUGUGGUUUAAUUCGAUGAUACGCGAGGAACCUUACCCGGGCUUAAAUUGCAUUUGAAUAUAUUGGAAACAGUAUAGCCGUAAGGCAAAUGUGAAGGUGCUGCAUGGUUGUCGUCAGCUCGUGCCGUGAGGUGUCGGCUUAAGUGCCAUAACGAGCGCAACCCUUAUCUUUAGUUACUAACAGGUCAUGCUGAGGACUCUAGAGAGACUGCCGUCGUAAGAUGUGAGGAAGGUGGGGAUGACGUCAAAUCAGCACGGCCCUUACGUCCGGGGCUACACACGUGUUACAAUGGGGGGUACAGAAGGCAGCUACCUGGUGACAGGAUGCUAAUCCCAAAAGCCUCUCUCAGUUCGGAUCGAAGUCUGCAACCCGACUUCGUGAAGCUGGAUUCGCUAGUAAUCGCGCAUCAGCCAUGGCGCGGUGAAUACGUUCCCGGGCCUUGUACACACCGCCCGUCAAGCCAUGAAAGCCGGGGGUACCUGAAGUACGUAACCGCAAGGAGCGUCCUAGGGUAAAACUGGUAAAA
rnacentral:rRNA from 1 species